GCGCAACCUAAUCAGCGCUGGUGUGCUGGGACCUGUCCAGCCAGGGCUCGACCGGCAGGAGCAUGACAAGUGCCAAAUAUGGAUUUUGCUUCUGAGCGGAGUUGGAAAUCAACCAAGAAAUUCCAAUUCACAUUCAUGACUCACAUUAUGUAAAUGUCAACAGGCAAUACGGCAUUGGCACAUUAGCAUUUGUAAAGGAGAGCUCCACCGCGAGAGGCCCUUUCUCACAGCGCCGGUAUGGAAAUGUGUGUUAUUGCAAAAACCCCGGUGAUGGAUUCUUGACCUCGGCUCAGGAGGAUUUCACAGUCUGUUUUGAGAAUGGAGGUAGAGCAACAUCGGGGAGAGAGACGUAAGGUCACUGCUUUAGCAUUUAUUAUGCGCCUCUGCCAGAAAACACAACUCUUUUAGCUUUCCUAAACAUAGCUUGGCUGGACACAGGCUGACAACUUUACUUAGGAGACGGAACCUAAACAGAUUUGUUAAUGCAGCUGCUGAAAAGUGUCCCAUUUACAGCCGCUCCUCUGUGCCUCUGCUUUUCCCUUUUCUUUUUUGUACUCGCCUUUUCUUUCUUUAACAGAAGGAAAAUGGAAACCCGAACAACAUCUUAAAAAUACCCCAUGCUUCCAGGUACACUUUCAAGUGGAUGUUGUACAAUGUCGAGAAUGUAGCAGGCAAGAGACACUUACUGUAAUGUUUUCAGGGGUUUAUAUUCUAAACAGGAGCAUUUGUCAAGCAUGCUUGCAUCAUUCUGUAAUGUUUGUGGUCCUCGCCCUAAGACGUCCUUUGAGGCCUGCACGAGAUUGAAAAAAAGAGUAUUUCGUUGCAAGUUUCCCCCCCCCCCCCUCAUCAUGUUCCCAACUUAAUGGGGAAAUAGAAAACAAAAGACGACAUAUGUAAUUAUAGCGUGACUGAAGAGUAAACAUGUCUCGUGCGAGUGGGGCUACGCUUUCGGCAGCAGGCUAAUUGCAAUGUUCCCCUUCUACUGCAGCGACUGGGUUAUUUGAUAGCUGGCAGUCU